UGCGCAGGCGGCUCUAUAAGACAGAUGUGAAAUCCCCGGGCUUAACCUGGGAACUGCGUUUGUGACUGUAGGGCUCGAGUGCGGCAGAGGGGGUGGAAUUCCACGUGUAGCAAUGAAAUGCGUAGAGAUGUGGAGGAACACCGAUGGCGAAGGCAGCCCCCUGGGUCGACACUGACGCUCAUGCACGAAAGCGUGGGGAGCAAACAGGAUUAGAUACCCUGGUAGUCCACGCCCUAAACGAUGCCAACUAGGUGUUGGGGAAGGAGACUUCCUUAGUACCGUAGCUAACGCGUGAAGUUGGCCGCCUGGGGAGUACGGUCGCAAGAUUAAA
rnacentral:rRNA from 1 species